UGUUAUGUGGCGAAAUGGUAACGCGGCAUUCCCAUUCUUUAAUGGCAUAUGUAUAUCGUGGGUUCAACCCCCACCAUAACAC
rnacentral:tRNA from 2 species